rnacentral:rRNA from 1 species
GUGGACGCCAGUCUGCGUGGAGCCGACCUUGAAAUACCACCCUUUAAUGUUUGAUGUUCUAACGUGGACCCGUUACCCGGGUUGCGGACAGUGUCUGGUGGGUAGUUUGACUGGGGCGGUCUCCUCCUAAAGAGUAACGGAGGAGCACGAAGGUUGGCUAAUCCUGGUCGGACAUCAGGAGGUUAGUGCAAUGGCAUAAGCCAGCUUGACUGCGAGCGUGACGGCGCGAGCAGGUGCGAAAGCAGGUCAUAGUGAUCCGGUGGUUCUGAAUGGAAGGGCCAUCGCUCAACGGAUAAAAGGUACUCCGGGGAUAACAGGCUGAUACCGCCCAAGAGUUCAUAUCGACGGCGGUGUUUGGCACCUCGAUGUCGGCUCAUCACAUCCUGGGGCUGAAGUAGGUCCCAAGGGUAUGGCUGUUCGCCAUUUAAAGUGGUACGCGAGCUGGGUUUAGAACGUCGUGAGACAGUUCGGUCCCUAUCUGCCGUGGGCGCUGGAGAACUGAGGGGGGCUGCUCCUAGUACGAGAGGACCGGAGUGGACGCAUCACUGGUGUUCGGGUUGUCAUGCCAAUGGCACUGCCCGGUAGCUAAAUGCGGAAGAGAUAAGUGCUGAAAGCAUCUAAGCACGAAACUUGCCCCGAGAUGAGUUCUCCCUGAGACUUAGAGUCUCCUGAAGGAACGUUGAAGACGACGACGUUGAUAGGCCGGGUGUGUAAGCGCAGCGAUGCGUUGAGCUAACCGGUACUAAUGAACCGUGAGGCUUAACCUUACAACGCCGAAGCUGUU